UCGAUCGCGCAUCGAGCGCGAUCCUCGCGACUUUUGCGUGCGACCCGGCGUUCGGCGUACAUGGUGCGUUAGAGAGAGCGAGCGAGGGAUAUCGGCGAGAGUGCCCGGCCCUAGCGAGUGUGUCCGGCAGAGGAUCUCAGAGGGAUCCUCCCGAGGAACCAGGAGGAAGACUGGAGUCGUCGUCGAGAUUCAAUAGUUCUGGUGCAUUACGAGAUUUUGAUCAAGCGGAUCGUGCGAAGUACUUACAAUUUGUUACUGUGGUAACAAAUCCGUCGUCCGUUACAAGGUUUUGCCGUUACAAGGUUUUGCUGUUAGAAGACAUGAACGGCGUACAAAAGUUUCAAUUAUCUCAAAGAAGAUAAGUCAACAGACAGGCUUCCAUUUGCACAUGCUUGUUUCAAUUUACUGGAUCUGCCAGUGCACGAGACGUAUGAUAAACUCCAUACAAAUCUACUCAAGACGAUUCAUGAAUGCAGCGAAAGAUUUGGAUUUGUGUAAACUUGUUGGAGCGCUAUUGUUGUAUAUUAUGUAGCAGUUUAUCAUACAUAUGUUAUCCGAGAAGGUAAAAAUAAUAAACAUGAGCAAAGAAGAAAGUCCCUACUAUAUUAUUGAAUUUGGUGAUGGAAUUCAACUUAUACCGUACACUUGGUUCACUACUACAGCUAAAACUAAGGCAUACUGACCUAAUUUCACAGACAUAUCGAAAUAUGACAAAGCUGUGAAAAACAGGUAUUCUGUUAGAAAGAAUUGGACUUUGUACGACGUUACAACAAUAUUAGGUAGUGCUCAAACUUUUGAAUCUGGAAAAAAAAAUUAAAAUUAGCAGAAAUUACCUCAGAUUUAAAUAUCGAUGUUAGUGAAGAAAAAUAAAAAAAAAGAAAAAUAAGAGCUGCUAAAAAAUUUAAUAGUGAUACAGUUUUUGAUACACAAAUUGUAGAAUCUGUGAUAAAACCAUUUCCAAAAAUUAAUUUGCAUAAAGUUGCUCAGAAUACGAAAACGAGUGAUAGUAAAUGCAAAAAUUCACAAUAUGUACAUGAUCAUUCGGCAUCAUCAUCAUCAUCGUUAUCAUCCCAGUCAUAUAAUAUGUUGACAGACACUCAUAUGUCUAUAACUGUAUCAAAGAAUAAAA